rnacentral:rRNA from 1 species
AUAUAACUAAGCGGAGGAAAAGAAACUAACCAGGAUUCCCUCAGUAACGGCGAGUGAAGCGGGAAGAGCUCAGACUGAAAAUCUUCGGAAUUGUAGUCUGUCGAGUUUAGGUCACCUGGUAGCCUCGGGCAAAGUCUUCUGGAAUGGAGCGCUAAGAAGGGUUACAGCCCCGUCUAUGCCUGAGGUCGCCUGGGUACGGCCGAACUUCUACGAGUCGAGUUGUUUGGGAUUGCAGCUCUAAGUGGGUGGUAAAUUCCAUCUAAAGCUAAAUAUUGGUGGGAGACCGAUAGCGCACAAGUA